AAUACAGGUGAGAGACAUGAGGGACUAAUCAACCACACAGACACACAGGCAAGCAGAGUGAUCACCGAGGAAACAUACAGAAGCAAAUCAAAAUGCAGAAACAUAAAUUAAACAUCAAAAGGCAAAAACUAUAACAGGACAGACAGGCAAACCGAAUAACGAGAACAGACUAAAGCAGAAUAAUCAAAAGAAUUAUGAAACUAAACAGAUCAGACCAGAACCACACAACCAGACUCCCCAACAAGACACACAGACAGGAUCGUGACAACAAUAAAGCAUAACAAACUAACUGAUUCUGAGGAGGCAUGUGCAUCUCCUCGCCUUUCCUGCCAGCGAUGGUACAGUUUCCAUCGCCUCCCAGAAGACGACGAAUCAAAAAGAAUAUGGCUUAAGAACGUAAACUUAAAUAAGCCCCCCAAACACCUGUUUGUGUGCUCGUUUCAGUUCGCUGACAAGAAGCCAACACAGGAUAACCCGUACCCAACGCUUUUUCUGGGUUACGAGAAGCCACCAGAGAAGAGAAGGCGACCCAGGACUCGAAAAGUCACAACAACAGCACCAACACCACUGAGGAAAGAAGCUGAAUGAAGAUAACAAAACCGCAGGUCCUGGUGAUGGCCUGCCUUGUUUGAUGUCUCGCACGCAGAAAGUGGAAUCUUCAUUCUACAAAAACGAAAGGCCAUCAUCCGAUGUCUCAUUGACCAUCCGGGAGAAGAUGCAAGUGCCUUGAUGAAGGACUUUGAGACUGCACGCGUCAAGUCCACCAUGUUACUAUAGUAGCCCUGAACGGACAAACCAAACAAUGACUCUAGAUAGGGCCUUCCCAUUUUUCUGAAGUUUCACUGCCAUCGUAGUUUCUCCUAUACACUUGGCCCGACCUAGAGCCAGUCUUUGGUUUGUCCAUUCUGCACUACUGUAGAAACAUGACUAUGCAACGUGGCGGACUCUGAGCAAGAGGACCCGUGCCGUCUGUACACAUAAAAAGGGUCAUAAUAGGUGAUUAUACACUACUGAAAACAUAUUUGUGAAUAUCAUUCUAUUUCUGCCAUAUUUUGCAAAUCUCUCUACACACUGGACUUUAAGUUAAUUCAAAAGCCAAUUAUUCUUGGUGCAUUUGCACCAUUUUUGAGAGACAGCUUACUAAUAUGCAGAGUUGAGCUCACUGUUUUUAUAGUGUGGUCAUUGUUACAUAGUGUAUGUCAUUUGUAAUUUAUGUCGUCUUUUUGUAAAGUAACCAGAUUGGACAAAUAAAUGUCUAAUUAAAAUGUGA